rnacentral:sRNA from 19 species
GUCAACUACCCCGGCCUCAAAGGCCGAGGCUUGCAAAAGCCUGGUUGACUAGCCUCAGUCUGCCGAAAGGCGACUACGUUGGUUGGGAACAUGUAGGCACCGCAGGAUGUUACUUCUAGUCCGGCGCGCUGCG